GACGAACGCUGGCGGCGUGCUUAACACAUGCAAGUCGAACGGAAAGGCCUGCUUUCCCUUGUGGAUUGCGGGUACUCGCGUGGCGAACGGGUGAGUAACACGUGAGUGAUCUGCCCCCAACUUGGGUAUAAGCCUGGGAAACUGGGUCUAAUUCCCGAUAGGACUGCAGGGUGGUGCCUGUUGUGGAAAACGAUUUUCUAGUGGUUGGGGAUGAGCUCGCGGCCUAUCAGCGUGUUGGUGGGGUAAUGGCCUACCAAGGCGGCGACGGGUAGCCGGCCUGAGAGGGUGGACGGCCACAUUGGGACUGAGAUACGGCCCAGACUCCUACGGGAGGCAGCAGUGGGGAAUAUUGCACAAUGGGCGGAAGGCUGAUGCAGCGACGCCGCGUGGGGGAUGACGGCCUUCGGGUGGUAAACUCCUUUCGACCGCGAGGAAGCCACCUGGUUGGAAGGUUGGUGACGGUAGUGGUAGAAGAAGCACCGGCUAACUACGUG
rnacentral:rRNA from 1 species